UAUUAAAAGUUUCAUCUAUUUGUACGGUUAAAAACUAGUAUGGCUGACGUGAUAACCAAACAGUGACAUGUAUAUCACGUGUACCUCAUGUUGGCAUUAAGUAGCCAAUUGUUAACAGUAGAAAUGAAUGAAAUUUUUAACA
rfam:Gossypium raimondii Chr13_contig_627, whole genome shotgun sequence.